rnacentral:snRNA from 1 species
AGCUUUGUGCAGUGGUGUUAUUAUAGCUAAUGAGAUUUAUUUGAGGCGUGAUUAUUGCUAAUUGAAAACUUUUACCAAUAUCUCACUGUGAUGACUUAAAAUAUAAUUGGCAUUGGCUAUUUUUGACAGACUGUGUAGA